GGCUCAGAAUGAACGCUGGCGGCGUGCUUAACACAUGCAAGUCGAACGAGAAAUCUUUAGCUUGCUAGAGAAAGUGAAGUGGCGCACGGGUGAGUAACGCGUGGGUAAUCUGCCUCCGAAUCGGGGAUAACAUUGCGAAAGCGAUGCUAAUACCGGAUAAAAUCUGGUUGGCUUCGGUGAACCGGAUCAAAGGUGGUCUCUUUAUAAAAGCUACCGUUUGGAGAUGAGCUCGCGUACCAUUAGCUAGUUGGUGAGGUAAAGGCUCACCAAGGCGACGAUGGUUAGCUGGUCUGAGAGGAUGAUCAGCCACACCGGAACUGGAACACGGUCCGGACUCCUACGGGAGGCAGCAGUGAGGAAUUUUGCGCAAUGGGGGAAACCCUGACGCAGCAACGCCGCGUGAGUGAUGAAGGCUUUCGGGUCGUAAAGCUCUGUCAGGUGGGAAGAACCCACCAAGUGUUAAGACCACUUGGUGCUGACGGUACCACCGAAGGAAGCACCGGCUAACUCCGUGCCAGCAGCCGCGGUAAUACGGGGGGUGCGAGCGUUAUUCGGAAUCAUUGGGCGUAAAGGGCGCGCAGGCGGUUUUGUAAGUCAGAUGUGAAAUCCCGGGGCUUAACCCCGGAAGUGCAUAUGAAACUAUGAGACUUGAGUAUGGGAGAGGGAAGCGGAAUUCCUGGUGUAGCGGUGAAAUGCGUAGAUAUCAGGAGGAACACCGGUGGCGAAGGCGGCUUCCUGGACCAAUACUGACGCUGAGGCGCGAAGGCGUGGGGAGCGAACAGGAUUAGAUACCCUGGUAGUCCACGCAGUAAACGUUGAUCACUAGGUGUAGCGGGUAUUGACCCCUGCUGUGCCGGAGUUAACGCAUUAAGUGAUCCGNCUGGGGAGUACGAUCGCAAGAUUAAAACUCAAAGGACUUGACGGGGGCCCGCACAAGCGGUGGAGCCUGUGGUUUACUUCGACGCAACGCGAAGAACCGUUACUGGGACUUGACAUCUCGGGAAAUUCGGUUGAAAGACGGGAGUGCCUUUAACGAGGAAUCCGAUGACAGGUGCGGCAUGGCUGUCGUCAGCUCGUGUCGUGAGAUGUUGGGUUAAGUCCCGCAACGAGCGCAACCCGGAUCUUCAGUGACCAUCAGGUGAUGCUGGGGACGUGGGAGAUACUGCCCCGGUUAACGGGGAGGAAGGUGGGGAUGACGUCAAGUCACUCAUGGCCGUUAUGUCCAGGGCGUAGCACACGUGCGACAAUGGUAUGUACAAAGGGAAGCGAUCCCGAGAGGAGGAGCUAAUCCCAAAAAGCAUAUCAAAGUUCGGAUCGGAGUCUGCAACUCGACUCCGUGAAGUUGGAAUCGCUAGUAAUCGCGGAUCAGCAUGCUGCGG
rnacentral:rRNA from 1 species